rnacentral:misc_RNA from 1 species
UCGACAUUUCGAACGCACAUUGCGGUCCUCGGAUACUGUUCCUGGACCACUCCUGGCUGAGGGUCGUUUCAAUUUCCACGACUGCCGGGUUGGGCGCACCGCCGAUAACGCGAAGGCCUCCAACGUGGUGCGCGCGCGCUGUAUACGCUCCCAACCGUGUGAGCGAAACGCGCGUCGUACGUACUGGACGGUCAGGCGCGAAAAGCGGACGGCCACCGAGGCAAGAAUCUGAGCGCUCGCGCACGAGCCGCAGCCCCGAUAUAGCGAUCGCGCCACGUGAUCGACGUCGGGGCGGCGCGCUAACGCGUCGCUUUAAAAUAUCGAACGAUAUAAUCAUUCGAGCCGACCGAAACCCGCGUACCGGCAAACGAUGCCCGGGCGACGCGCCGGUCGACGUGUCCGAGAGUGAAUCCCCCCGCCCUGAUAGAUUCGUCCGGGGCGGCGAGAGGUAUUCGUCCGACGUCCGAUCGCGCGCGUGCGGCCCGCCGGAUCCCGUUGCCUACGCGGCCGGUCGGUUACGAGAGAA